GUUAUAUGGUCAAGUGAAGAAGCGCAUACGGUGGAUGCCUUGGCAGUCAGAGGCGAUGAAAGACGUGGUAGCCUGCGAAAAGCUUCGGGGAGUCGGCAAACAGACUGUGAUCCGGAGAUGUCUGAAUGGGGGAACCCAGCCAUCACAAGAUGGUUAUCUUGCACUGAAUACAUAGGUGCAAGAGGCGAACCAGGGGAACUGAAACAUCUAAGUACCCUGAGGAAAAGAAAUCAACCGAGAUUCCCUUAGUAGUGGCGAGCGAACGGGGACUAGCCCUUAAGCUUCUUUGAUUUUAGCGGAACGCUCUGGAAAGUGCGGCCAUAGUGGGUGAUAGCCCUGUACGCGAAAGGAUCUUAGAAGUGAAAUCGAGUAGGACGGAGCACGAGAAACUUUGUCUGAAUAUGGGGGGACCAUCCUCCAAGGCUAAAUACUACUGACUGACCGAUAGUGAACUAGUACCGUGAGGGAAAGGCGAAAAGAACCCCGGAGAGGGGAGUGAAAUAGAUCCUGAAACCGUAUGCGUACAAGCAGUGGGAGCCCACUUUGUUGGGUGACUGCGUACCUUUUGUAUAAUGGGUCAGCGACUUAUUUUCAGUGGCGAGCUUAACCGAAUAGGGGAGGCGUAGCGAAAGCGAGUCUUAAUAGGGCGUCUAGUCGCUGGGAAUAGACCCGAAACCGGGCGAUCUAUCCAUGGGCAGGUUGAAGGUUAGGUAACACUGACUGGAGGACCGAACCGACUACCGUUGAAAAGUUAGCGGAUGACCUGUGGAUCGGAGUGAAAGGCUAAUCAAGCUCGGAGAUAGCUGGUUCUCCUCGAAAGCUAUUUAGGUAGCGCCUCAUGUAUCACUGUAGGGGGUAGAGCACUGUUUCGGCUAGGGGGUCAUCCCGACUUACCAAACCGAUGCAAACUCCGAAUACCUACAAGUGCCGAGCAUGGGAGACACACGGCGGGUGCUAACGUCCGUCGUGAAAAGGGAAACAACCCAGACCGUCAGCUAAGGUCCCAAAGUUAUGGUUAAGUGGGAAACGAUGUGGGAAGGCUUAGACAGCUAGGAGGUUGGCUUAGAAGCAGCCACCCUUUAAAGAAAGCGUAAUAGCUCACUAGUCGAGUCGGCCUGCGCGGAAGAUGUAACGGGGCUCAAACCAUACACCGAAGCUACGGGUAUCACGUAAGUGAUGCGGUAGAGGAGCGUUCUGUAAGCCUGUGAAGGUGAGUUGAGAAGCUUGCUGGAGGUAUCAGAAGUGCGAAUGCUGACAUGAGUAACGACAAUGGGUGUGAAAAACACCCACGCCGAAAGACCAAGGUUUCCUGCGCAACGUUAAUCGACGCAGGGUUAGUCGGUCCCUAAGGCGAGGCUGAAAAGCGUAGUCGAUGGAAAACAGGUUAAUAUUCCUGUACUUCUGGUUAUUGCGAUGGAGGGACGGAGAAGGCUAGGCCAGCUUGGCGUUGGUUGUCCAAGUUUAAGGUGGUAGGCUGAAAUCUUAGGUAAAUCCGGGGUUUCAAGGCCGAGAGCUGAUGACGAGUUACCCUCUGGGUGACGAAGUGGUUGAUGCCAUGCUUCCAAGAAAAGCUUCUAAGCUUCAGAUAACCAGGAACCGUACCCCAAACCGACACAGGUGGUUGGGUAGAGAAUACCAAGGCGCUUGAGAGAACUCGGGUGAAGGAACUAGGCAAAAUGGCACCGUAACUUCGGGAGAAGGUGCGCCGGUGAGGGUGAAGCACUUGCUGCGUAAGCCCACGCCGGUCGAAGAUACCAGGCCGCUGCGACUGUUUAUUAAAAACACAGCACUCUGCAAACACGAAAGUGGACGUAUACGGUGUGACGCCUGCCCGGUGCCGGAAGGUUAAUUGAUGGGGUUAGCUAACGCGAAGCUCUUGAUCGAAGCCCCGGUAAACGGCGGCCGUAACUAUAACGGUCCUAAGGUAGCGAAAUUCCUUGUCGGGU
rnacentral:rRNA from 1 species